UCCAGUGUUUGUGGGGCCACUUUAUUUUCGUUAACGCGUCUGUUAGCUCUUGACUUAGGUUCUGACAAUUACAUUUACACCGUCGGAACUUAUGUCAGCAUUUUGAGUACGGUGGCAGUGAGAAAUCAUGUUGCACGGUUUGAAACACAAAUGGUGUUUCUGGGAGAUGGUGAGAGGGUGCAUGUGCAAGUUUUCCUUGCUUGCCGAGGCCACACAUGACAAAUUGACAUUAUAGGUAGUGUUACGAACUUUGGUUACGACUCUUCGUGUUAAAGCUCUGAUGUUAUGACGACGAUGUCAACAUCAACAGUGUUGCACGUGGGAUUGUUUUGGUGGAAACGUUAUGUUUAUUUUAGCGUCUCUGGUGUAUGUAGUGCGUGAAAUAAGCUUAACUGAUUAAAAAAGAAUUAGCAGUAAAUUUCUGGAAAUACUGACACACUCAACAUGGCAACCUUUCUGAGCUUUUCGGAAAUUGUGGAGGAGCCACGAAUUAAUGAAGAUGAAGAAGCUGAAAUAUCUUCACUUGAUGAAGACCACGAGAUGGCUGAAAAUACUAAUGACAGUGACUGUGGAACAGACACAAGUAAGAGUGCAACUGAGGGGACAGGUGUCAUUGGCGGGAACCCUGGCUGGGCUGAUGCAAUGGCCAAGAUUCUGAAGACAAACAAGCCAAAAAAUAAGAAAACCAUUGUGUUAGCUAAAGCAAAGAAGCUGCAACAAGUUGCAAAAAAGGAAAAACCAGCAGUAGAAACUGAUACUACUGAGAAAGAAGAGAAAGAUACCACUGUAAAAUUUGAGAAAAACGCUAUGAAGGAUUCCAGAAAGUUAAAGAAGAAACUGUGGGAGAACAAAGGCAGGGUACAACCACAUAUUUUGGACAAGAACAGAGAAAAGGCGUUAGCCAAGAUAGCAACAAAAGGGGUGGUGCAGUUGUUUAAUGCAGUGCGACAACAUCAGAAAAAGCUGGAUGAGCAGUUUAGAGAAGUCAAGCAUUCUGAAGUUAAAAAAGAUAAAAUUAUGAAGUCUGUUGAUAAAAAGGCCUUCUUAGAUGUGCUAAUGGGGAAAGGCAGUUCAGCCAAAUUUGAAGCUGAUAUGAAGGAGGAAGAGGACGAGAAUAAGGAGGAUUCUGUAAACCAAACAUGGAAAGUAUUGCAGGAUGAUUUUAUGACCGGUGUCAAACUGAAAGACUGGGAUAAAAAUGAACUUGACCUCGAAGAUGACAUAAUGCAUAAAUAAGUAGCUGAGUUGGUAAGCGUUUGCCAAGCUACACAAAAAGAUUUUCAUAAAUUUUGUAAUAUAAUACUGUGUAACUAAAGGUUUCUGGGUGCCAAGCACCAAUCCUCAAGUGGCGGCUAUUCCAUUAUUUUUUACAUUAAGUUUUCUGUACGAUUUGAUUACUCUCUGUAUACUUACAUGUUGAAUUGUGUACUUUCAGGUGAAGUUGCCAUGUAUGAAGUUUUGUUAAUUUAUGCAAAUUUUUAAUUAAGUUCUUAACUGAACAAUGAAGGGUUAUCCAGCUCAGAAGCAUUAGGGCAGAAAAUUAUAUAGUCGAAUCCUGGAAUCUAACAAGCAUAGUGGCUCAGUAGACAAAAGUAAAUUUGUGUGUGAUUGAUCUGUGAUUAAGAAUAUAUUUCAUGUUUGUUUUAAUUAAACUGAAACUGGUUACUAGAAAGAAUGUCGCAAGGCUUUCUAAUGAUUGGGUUAAGUAUUCACUUAGAUUUCACCGUUUCUUGUUGUUAUAACAAUUCCAGUUCCCCAUUUCUUUUAAGUAAUAAAGCUUUCAAUGAAACAAAAUAUUACCCACUUCAAAUAUGUACAUGACAUAUACCAUACUUUCAUAAGUACAAUCAGCUGAAGGAAAAAAAAAUUAUUAAUAGAAGGAGUAGAACAAUAGCAAGUGGAAUAGUUUCAACUUGCAUCUCAAACAGUAUGGGAUCUUUUCAUCUAUUAACAUGAACUACAUUUAUUUGUGUUGAGGAUCAGCUGCCAAUGAUUGCACCAGGCAUUGAUCAGAACUGCAUCCAGUGUGUUCAGUAGCUUCUGUCAAAAACUGCUAUACAUCUUUAAUGAGCACCUAGCAUAUGUACUAUAUAUCUUUAAAGGGCACCUAGCAUAUAUGUACUGAAUGCACAGCAGAGUUGUUAUUUCCCUGAGAGAUUUCUAUCAUCUGUUUCACAUUGGAACUUCCAACAACGAGCAGUCCCAUCCUUUGUGCAAGCUCAAGUCCAGCAAACCGAUUGGGCCCUGUCCCAAGAGCUAAGGUAAUUCGUGCUGGCUCACCUGAGUCAUGAGUAACAAUUAAUUACUCACAUCUGUUGGUAAGGAUUAUUCACCUUCAGGCCAUAUACACUUGACCUGAUCAAGGUCUGUCACUCAUCCUGAAGUGUUCAUAAUUUUGCCAGGGCAGGUGUAUGUAUUGCUAUAUCAGGCUUCACCAGUAGGAUAGGAGGUACCUUAUUAGUUUGUCUUUUAAUGCUCAGCUCAAAUGCCUUAAUUGUGUUCAUUAACAAGCACCUGUGAUUGUUGACUUGGUUUUAACACCUCAUAGUACAUGACGUUGAGCUGGUCCCAUCAAAUGCAGAGCAAGAUCUUGGAGCCAUAAAUAUUCGGUUUGGCCGUAUACGUGAAAGCAUGGCCGGGAUAUCACCACGAUUUUUUGCCUUUAGGUUUAUCGUAAUGAGCCCAUUUUUUGUCCCCAGUCACAAUGUGAUGCAUAAAUCCCUUCCAUUUUUGCCUCUGGAGCAACUGUUCACAAACACACAAAUGCCGUUCAACGUCUCUUGGUUGCAACUCACACGGGACCUAAGUUCCUUCUUUCUGAAUCAUGCCCAUAGCCUUGAGACAUUUUGAAACAACUUGCUGUGUCACUCUCACUAAUCGUGCCAAUUCUUCUUGAGUUUGACGUGAGUCUUCACUCUGCAGUGUCUCCGAUUCUGCAUCUUCGAAAACGUUCUGUCUUCCACCACUAUGCCAGUCAACGAUGUUAAAAUCACCAUUCUUGAAGUGUUGAAACCACUCAUGUCACAUUGUGUCUCUAAUAGCGUCCUUACCAUAUGUACUUGAGAGCAUUCGAUGAGACUUCAGGCACUCUUUUCUUCAUAUUGAAACAAAACAGUAACACCUCCUGCAAAUGACGAGAAUUAGGCUCGUAAACUGACAUUUUCAGUCAAGAACAACUUUAUGAUACAGGCACAAAUCAACUAAUGCUUGAAUGAGGUUGUGUUGACUGAGGUCCAAGCUAACUGCCUGACGUCUGCAAUCUGUUUCUUUCGACCCCUACUUACCGUUGUCGCCACCUGUCGGGAAACGGCAUAAGCAAAGUUGUACACUUUGUAUUACAUGACCAACAUGCUAUUCCGUGUUGCUCAAUUAUUUCUCAGUAAUGUUGGCAUCUCAUGAAUUAAAGAAUGACUCAAGGUGGUGAAAGCCUAUACACUGUUCUUUCUACAACUUCUGUACAGAAUGUGCAUUGUAGAUAGCCGUGUUCUAACCUUGAAAGAUGCCAUUGCAUUUUUGGAAAAGGUGCAACAAUUUCAGGUGCUUGACAUACCAAAUGGUUUAUACACCACAAUUACCCUGUACUGCAGUUACAUUACAUGGUGAACCAGUAGUCAUUAACUUCUUAAUGUCAAACACUUUAAGUAUGGAAGCUCUUGAACGCCGUACAGGAACAGGCAUUUGUGUGAUUGGGAGAUCCACUCUCCUGGUCCUGUGUUCUUUAUCAGACCCUGUUCAAUCAUUUUCUUUCCUGUUUUGCUGAUGCGCUCAUUACCUGUAUUCAGUGCAGCGCUGUUAUGACGUUCUAUGUUGAUUCAUUGCUUACAGUUUAUGUUGUACAAGUUGUUGCAUUGAUCAUUCAUAUUUUGUACCCUUUUUAAGUUUUCUUACAAUAGAGAACAUUAACCAUUAACCAUACAGAAGCCACAGAAACUUUAUGUGAUACGUAAAAUUCAUCAACAUGCAGUAGGUACUGAUUUGGUAUAGCUUACACAUGUAGAAAGUCCAGAACAUCUUGCAUAGUGAAUACUGACCAAUCUGCGCCUAGUUUUAUCCAGUUUCCCUAAUACAUAAAUAGAUAAUUUUGAUGUGUUUGCAGCUUCGAGAUCAUAACAAUACAGUAAAUACAUUUGUCUCUACAGAACUACGUAUGCUAUCACUAUCUAAAUAUGCAUUUCAUCUGAAUGUUUGAGGAAAGAUAUUAAAUGGGCUUCAGUGGAAACCAGUAAUAUUUAUGGCACUAUUCCUUUGUGGACUUUUAUUUUAAUAAAACUUGGAUCAAUAAUUUGCAUUC